GAAAAUUGAUCUUUUCAUAUUUUAAUUAUUAAAAUAUCAAUCCAGCACAAUCAUACAAUAUAAUAUAAACAUUGUGUAAUGCAUGUAUUGUCCUGAAUUGGCAAACUAAAUUAAAAUCACAACACCAAGGAAUCAUUAUGAAAACAAUAUUAAUUUGUUAAAGAAAACAUCCACAUAAUAUAUUAAACUAAUAUAAAAGAAUCAAACAAAUGAAAUUUCCCUCAAUCUCUCAUCUUCGCCCCCAAACCCCAAAUUUUCUAACAAAUCCAUCAAAUAAUCAAUCCCCGCCCAAAAGGAAUCCCUAUAAAAAUAAUCAUAAAUCCCACCACCUGUAUGAGAAAACAAAGCCAGAUAUCCAACAUAAACUAAUAGGAAGAGACGAACAACUAGAACAAAAAAACAAAUAGAAGGAGAACAAGAGAAGCCAAAACAGUGGGUAGAAAAACAGAUGAAUCUGAAGUAGGGCUUGGUGCAGCGGCCUCUGUUGUUGUCGCCGCCGCCACAACAUUUUAAACCACCAUUAUCAUCAUUAGCACAAAAGCUAUGAAUAGCUUCAUCUUCAUUGUCUCCAUUGUUAAUGGCUAAUUUUACGGAUCUAAAGAGAAAGAGAAUAGAACCGACACAUAACAGAUCUUGAACUGAUUUGUGAAAAACAAAAUCAGAUCAUCCGAGCGGAUCAACUUCCAAAACCCCACCCUAGUAAAUUUGAAACCCCUAAAACCAAGCCCAUACACCCCCACUUCAAAUCAUAGCCCCAGAUUUUGCAAACAUAGAUCGGUAGAUAGAUUUUCGGGAAAGAUCAAAAUUUGGUCACCGGAAAAGCACAAACAAAUCCAAGUAAUAAAGUGAAAGAAAGGAAC
rnacentral:lncRNA from 1 species